rnacentral:rRNA from 1 species
GUGGCUUAAUUUGACUCAACGCGGGAAAUCUUACCAGGUCCAGACAUAUGGAGGAUUGACAGACAGUUAACCAAAACGCAGCAGCUAGUUUAACAAAACUAACAGCUCUUUCAAGAUUAUGUGGUAGGUGGUGCAUGGCCGUUCUUAGUUCGUGAAGUGAUUCGUUCGCCCAAUCGCAUUUCCAAACAACUAACAACUCAGAAUGCUGGGCAAUAGGACGUUUAAAGUGGCUCCUUACACCUUACAAAGGAAUGGCUGAUGAGAAACAACUCGAUCCGCUCAGCGUUCUAUUGGAAUGCAACGGACGUGAUUGCAAGCUUUUGUUUUGAGUUGCGGUUUUACUGAAAGACUCUACAAUCCGCAAACUUCAAUGAUCUGAAGUAGAAAACCUACAUGCUACAGUGAGAUAUUGUGGAUAAACUUAAGCGACCGCUCCAACAUUGUGUUUUUUUAAAACUGAUGAAGGUUGCGGCAAUAACAGGU